UACGUAGGAGGCGAGCGUUGUCCGGAAUUACUGGGUGUAAAGCGCGCGUAGGUGGGAGGCCAAGUCUGUGGUGAAAGCGCCCGGCUCAACUGGGCAUGGUCCAUGGAAACUGGUCACCUGGAGGACGGUAGAGGCGAGUGGAAUUCCCGGUGUAGUGGUGAAAUGCGUAGAUAUCGAGAGGAACACCUGCGGCGAAGGCGGGUUGCUGGGCUGACACUGACGCUGAGGCGCGAAAGCUAGGGGAGCGAACGGG
rnacentral:rRNA from 1 species